GAUUUUGGCACUGUCGAUUAUCAGGAGUUUGUAGUUGACAUUGAGUCCAGACUGAGGAUGGAGGGGGUAGAACUUAAGGAAGAAUGGCAAGAUGAAGAUUUUCCAAUACCUUUACCAGAAGAUGAUAGUAUUGAAGCAGAUAUAUUAGCUGUAACUGGACCAGAGAGUCAGCCUGGCUCACUAGAAGUUAAUGGCAAUAAAGUGAGAAAGAAACUAAUGGCUCCCGACAUUAGCCUAACUCUGGACCCUAGUGACGGCUCUGUGUUGUCAGAUGAUUUGGAUGAAAGUGGGGAGAUUGACUUAGAUGACUUAGAUACGCCAUCAGAGGACAGUAAUGAAUUUGAGUGGGAAGAUGAUCUUCCAAAACCCAAGACUACUGAAGUUAUUAGGAAAGGCUCAAUUACUGAAUAUACAGCAGCAGAGGAAAAGGAAGAUGGACGACGCUGGCGUAUGUUCAGAAUUGGAGAACAGGACCACAGGGUUGAUAUGAAAGCAAUUGAACCCUAUAAGAAAGUUAUCAGCCAUGGAGGGUAUUAUGGAGAUGGAUUAAAUGCCAUUGUUGUAUUUGCGGUCUGUUUUAUGCCUGAAAGUGGUCAACCUAACUAUAGAUACCUGAUGGACAAUCUCUUUAAGUAUGUUAUUGGCACUUUGGAGCUGUUAGUAGCAGAAAACUACAUGAUAGUUUAUUUAAAUGGUGCAACAACUCGGAGAAAAAUGCCCAGUCUGGGAUGGCUCAGGAAAUGCUAUCAACAAAUUGAUAGAAGGUUACGGAAAAACCUAAAAUCUCUAAUCAUUGUACAUCCCUCUUGGUUUAUAAGAACACUUCUGGCUGUUACAAGACCUUUUAUUAGCUCAAAAUUCAGCCAAAAAAUUAGAUACGUCUUUAAUUUGGCAGAACUAGCAGAGCUUGUCCCCAUGGAAUAUGUUGGAAUACCAGAAUGCAUAAAACAGUAUGAAGAAGAAAAGUUAAAAAAGAAAAAGAAAAGGUAUAUGCACACCUUGACUGGGUUGCAUCUAGACUAGUCCAUUUGCAUUGCACAGACUAACUCUUCCUUUUCGGUUGGUUAGCUUGUAGACAAAGAUAACAGCAUUUGUAAAUAUAAAUAUACCCCAGGACCCAUAUAUGCAGUGAAUCCAAAGUUCCUGCUGCUGAGUGUGGCUUGGAUUCUCUCUACAUAGAAAAUAAAGACCAGUUAGAAAAUAAAGGCCACUUAAUAAUACCAGUUAGAAAAUAAAGACCACGUCUCCUUCCUCCUUUUGGUAUAAAUAACAGAUGGUAAAUUCCUAAGAAUGCUCUUUGAAAUAUCAAUUACUUAUAAUACCUUACCAAUUUGUGCUUUUGAAAUAUUUAUGUUCUUUUUUAAUAUAUCAGAUUUCCCCCCUGGGGUUGAUAAUUAUAUUUACAAUGCAGAUAUUCUUUGGCUAACCAACAUUGAUUUCCUUGUAUGCUUAAACAAUGGCCUGCUAACUAGUCAAAUUCUCCAUGUGAUAAAAUACCUAAAAGUUCAAUAUACCAUUUGAUAGUUAAACACUCUGCUUUCCAUCUUUAAUUUAAUUUUGAAUACUUCUGCUUUGAGCAUAACAGACUGUCAUCUGUUAAUAUGUUAGCAUAGAAGAUGAAAGGCAAGGGUAUAAAUUAGUACUAUUUUAUAUAGUAAUUUAGAAAAGUACAGGAUUUAGAUCUGACUUGUUAAUGGAUUUUUAAAAUAUUGACAAUUAAAUCAGCAAAACAGAUUCAUACAAUCUUUCAUAAGAGUUAAGGCGUGAGAUUUAUUUAUUAUUUGGACCACUGUGAGGAAUUAAAGCUGAAAUAUCCUUAACUUCACAUUUAACUUCAAACACAUUUUGGUUCUGUUGAUGAGCAAGAAUUCAGUUGACCACAUGAUCAAAUCAUAGCUUUACAUUUGACAUAUGACAUAUGUCAUAUGUCACUUUACAUUUCUACACAUACAUAUGACACUUUACAUUUCUAUAUGACACUUUACAGCUAAAGAUUUUUAGAUAGAGAUAAGAACAAUGAUUUUAGAUCUUGCUCAUUUCUCACUCCUCUCAGGGCAUUGGUGUGCACUUGCCAGACAACUGGCUGAAAUAUAGUCUGUAAUUAUAGAAUAUUUUGAAGGCAGCUGCUUCAUAGAUUUCAAGAUGAAUUGCCUUUGUGGAUGAAAUCUGCUGUGUUGUAUCUUUUUACAAAAUUCUUAGUUAAGUAACUUAGGCACCAGAAAAAAAGUGGAAUUGUACUUUUUAUUUAAAUGUAUUGUUUGAAACUUACAAGUACUCUUUUUAUCUUGACUUUUUUUAAACUUUUGUUUUAUUUAACCUUAAAUAGAAUCAUUACAUGUAUCUUUCAGGCACUUCUUAGUUUUUGUACAAAGUUUCUUUAGCCUUGAAAAAUAAUCCUUGUCAGCUUGAAAAUGACAACAUUCAAGUUUAAAAAUAGAAGGGCAUGUUUUUAAUAUCAAAUUAACAGAAGCUACCUGUGGGGAACUUACUCAAGAGUUGAUCAAGAGCUUAAUGGAAAACAAGAUGAACCGAAAAAUGAACAGUAAGUUUGGCAUCUAGUCCAAACACAACUGAAGAAUGUGCUGAUGAAGCAGUGCUUUUUUGCAUUUAUAAUGCAUUUAUUGGUCCUGAUUUUUAUGUAACCUGUUACAGAAUUGACUUGACUUUUUCGUAAUGGACUUUUGUAUAAGGGACUGUUCACUGCUGUGUUGGUUUGCAGAUCUCUUGAAUUUAGUUCUGUACUAGCUAAUUAUAUUGUAAUCAUUUUAUAUUUUAUAUUGCUAAAUAGCAGAGAACCACACUUUAUAUAAAGCAAUUUUUGCAUUUGUUUGUUAAAUGAUGCAUUUUCUUCAGUAAAAUAUUUAUAUGCCUAAAUGGAAAAAGGAAAGAGAUAAUAUAUAUUUUUAUGUUUUUGAGCAAUAUUUUUUAAUGUAUACCUUUCUUGUGGACAAAUAUGCAGGUAAAUAAGACCAUGAUUUUUUUAAAGUGCAUGUUAGAAGUUUUGUUUUUGUAAAUGGUUAAAUAUACUUCCUGGGUCACUUCGAAAAUAUGCUUAUAAGGUGAGGGACAAUUAAACUGGUUUUCAUGAGUAUUCAAAGGUCGUGUACAUAAUCUAAAUAGAUUAGUACCAUUCUGAACAUUUUUCUCACUUAACAUUUAUUGUUUCUUAAUUCAGACACAAAUAUAAGUAUAUCGCGCACUUUUUUUUUUAAAGACAAAUCAAAAAGCCAUUUCUAGAAUUAGAGAAUUUAAAGAGGUUAAGAAUUGGAGUUUGUGUAUAUAUAUGUAUAUUUUGGACAUUUUAUCUUCUGGCCAAAAGUCAACACUUCAUAAAAAUGUUAGGUUUGUUCACUAAUGUGAAAUAAGCUGUGUGUCCAGGAUAUCACUCUUAUGAAUUUGUGUGAGUGCAGUGUAAUAGUUAGAGAAUGUGAUGAGUUACUCGCUGUCACAUCUUCUCUUUAGAAAACAGGGCUGCUUUUUUAACUGCGUUCAAUGUGGGCACUUUACCAAAACACUUUCCUAUCAGGUGUUCGACCUAGUUAGAUGUGGUGUGUUUUCACAUUUUCUGUUAAAUUGUGUUGACAGUACUGUAAACUAAGUUAUUUUGUAAGUCUUAGAGCAUCAUCAUACUGUGGUGUUGUGGAUGACUCAUUUGGUGUAAGCAUAUAAACUCCUUGUUUAAUUUGGUAAGUACCUCUACAUUGAAAUUGUACUUAUGCCCCCAGGUAGAACUUAAUUACCCACAAAAUCAUCCAGAAGCAACAGAUUGGUCUAAUAUACUUGUGGGACUCAUAUAUUUGGUGAACUCAGUACUUGUCUAAUUUAAGGGUCAUACCAUACUCCAGCCCUUCACAUAAGGUAAUUUAUAUGAAAAGAGUAGUGAAAUUGAGAAGAAUGAGAGCUAAAUCUUCAAGCUUUAUUCUAUCCUAGAUUGGCUUUUAUCAUUACUGUUUUCAGUAUAAACUUUUCUAUUACAGAAGAGAAUUUCCUUUACUCUUUGUCCUCUCCACUCAUAAACUUGACAUGCUAACCCAAGUGCUAUUUUGAGAGAGGCUGGAGGAUUCCCAGGAUGAGACUCUUCCCUCAGUAGCCUUCUGACUUGACUUGGAUCCAGCAGCUGUAGGCAGAUCCUGAACUAUCAUCAUUACAGUGACUAAAACCAAAACCAUAUUGCUUGCUCAGAUCUUAGAAAUACUUUGUGUUGCAAAUGCAAACUAACAAUUUAGGCAUUCCUUCUGAAUUUAUUACGUGAGAAUUAUGAAUAAAGGAUCAUACUGAAUUUAUUUGUGAUUAGAGUGUAUAUUUGUAGAGUGCUUUAAGUGAUUUUUUUUCAUCUGAAAAGUAGUUUCAAACUGGGCUGAGCUUUUUAAUAUGUGACUUUCCUCCCCACUUAGUACCCAGUUCUUCAGUUUCAGCCUGUUACUGUUGAUUGACUUUUGCUUUCACAAGCAUUGUUCCUGACUAUAGAUACAACUUGUUGCAAAAGUGGUGCAUAUUCCUACUCUUUUUUUUUGAAGGAGAGGUAGCCUAUAUUCUAUUAGAACAUUAAAAUUCAGAGGGAAUGUGAUAUAAGCAAAGGGGUGUGCUAUCAAUCACUAGAUUUAAAAGAAUACCUGUUCUAACCUAUACCUUAAUGGAAUCUGGUCCAGGGACAUGCCCUAUAAUGUUUCAUAACUAUGAGACUGAAGAUCAUAACAUGUAGGCUAGAGGAAAAGUAUUUAUUAAAUUUGUUAUUUAUAAAUAGUAAUGUGACUGUGUGACAUUUUCCCUGUAUCAUUUAAUUUUAAUUUUCCAUUACUGAUUAGGGUAAAUAGAUAGAAUUGUGUUUUAUCUUUCUGCUGGGAUCAUGGAUUUAACUUGUUUAAUUUGAUGCUUCUGUCACUAUUUUUUGUUGUGUUUGAGUUUGGAGUGUCUCUUUUUUUAGUCAAAAGUUUCUCAUAAAGUAAUUUGUGUUUCUUCUUGGACAUAUUCCUUAUUAGCACCAAGGGUAGUCAAUAUAUUGAUCCCACAAUUUAAGCUUAAUAGUCUUUUUAACUGGGGGUGGGGGGAUAUGUGAGGAUAUAUGAUUCUAAGUAGGGCCUAGGGAUAAAGUUAGUUGUUCUCUAAGAUGCCACUGAAUGUGUCCUUGUUAAGGGAAGUACUAUAUAUGGCAGCUGUUGGUACCAUUUUUUGUAUCAAGCAGGAAUUUACAGAAUAUUGCAGGCUACAUACAGAAUACAUGAAUAAGGAGACUGGAGUGAAGGGUGCAAAGGCUGGUAAUACCUCCAAUGAGAAUGCAUAUUUCCUUCUGCUUGCUUUCUUUGUCUCUUCAUACAGAAGCAAGUUUAAAUAGGGAAUGUUGGCAGUUACAAUGCUCAGGUUAAAAUGUAGGGUUAUGGGAUAGGUUACUUUUGACAUUUCAUGGCUGGUAAACAUUUAAUGUAUUGUUCCAAAAUGGACAUUGUUAUUUAGUAACUAUACUGAAUAUUGAAAUUUGCUGAUUGACAGGUUUAUAUAGGUAGCUAGACUGUCUUUCAGCUGCAAUUCCAGAACUUAAAAAGGUAAGGAAUCCGCUUUUUUGACAGAGCCUUCUUGUAAAUGACUCUGUUACUCUGGCUGUUGUCAUGGGAGUGCUCAGGGAAUUUGAAAGUGUUUGAAUUAAUACAGAAGUGGCUUUUUAGAUUUCUUCAGUUGACAGGUAAAUUAGCAUUAGGAUCAUCAAGUAGAACAGUCCAGUUUCCUAAUGAGAUUGGAAAGGUUGUACGUAAGGUGACAGCAGUUUGAUCCUUUGCCCCAUGUUAUAUGUGGAGAAGUGCUAACAUUGCUUAAUCAGGAGGAGGAGGAGACAGACUGAAAAUAGAUAGAUAUGGCUACCCCAUUCUGUUUUUACAUGCCUUAUGUUUUUUCUUAUCCUGUAUAGACAUUUGAGAAAUGGAUCACAGAUCACAGAAGGGUGGGAUAUCUAGAAGAACUAACGCACUUAAAAGUUAGACCAAGUACUCUGUUGGGAAUAGGGAUUGUGGAAUUUGAGUUGCUGGCAGAAAGUUAAGGACUUGGACUUGCAUGCUUGCAUGAGAAGGUCAGCUGGGUAAGAGAAGUGGGAGUUUAUUAGUGUUGUAAUAGUAAAGAAGAAUUACGUGGGGAGCCUUUCACCCUUCUCUUCCUGCCCCAAGAUUCUGAAUAAAUUAGACUCAGAUCAGUGAUGAGUCCUAGUAAUGUAACUUUCCUUUGAAGUUGUAAAUGGUAAUUGAAACUAAUGUGUUGACCGGCAAGGAGUGACACUAAAAUUUGAAGAGAACUGUUACUUUGCUGCAGCUAUAUAUGGUAGAUCUACCCAAUUAUGUUUUGAGAACUACUUUAAAAAUGCUAUGGAAAGUCUACAUAAAGCAUGUAUUUAAUACAUCAUACAACAGAAGAAAAUCAAAGGUUUAGUGCUUUCAUGAUACUAAAGAAUUAUUAUCUCUUUCAGAUAGCUAGUUCUAUUUUAUAAGACAUUCUGCAAGAGGUUAAAACAUUUGCAUUUUGAAAUUUUGAUACAUUUUCACAUUCAGUUUAGCUAGGGAGGAACUUGGAAAGUAAUGUUAAUUAGCUGCUCCACUGCACUUUUUGUAUUUGAAUUUUCUAAAGUUAUGCCCCUUAAACAGUUUUAUUUACGUAAACUAGCUAGUAAAUAUUUGUGAUGUUCAGGGCACUGACUUGCACAGACUUUGGGGCACAUGGAACACAAUUCAGAAUUCGUUAAGACACUAAUGCACUUUGAUAAGUGUAUUUCCAGAAUUCAAACAUUUUUCUUACUCUAAGUUCACAUGCUGUCAUUUAGACACAGUUAACGUGCUGUGAUCAUUUUACCACUAUUCACAUAAUGUUGUGUAGCCUAGUGGUCUCCUUUUACAGUGAGGGAGAUUCACGUCUAAAAACUGUGUGCAAGAUGUUGAUGUGGUUGGUCCCUGUAAGAAAUACUAGGGUUGGUCUUGAUUUAUUGAUACUAAGAUGUAAUAUUUUCUUUGACUUGUUAGGAAUACAGUAACUUGUGUCCUGAUUUGUUGCACAUCAUAUUUUUGCAACGUUAAUGAAUUUAAAUAAAUUAAUUGUAAAGUU